UUUUUUUUUUUUUUUUGCUCUCCUCGUCAUCCUCCGAGCGGCGCACCGGCUCAUCCUCCUCCUCCCAUCUUCCUCACGCCGGCGCUGGUCAGAAAAGCCCGAGCCGGAGCCAGCACGGUCAACUUCACCGGCACAUCCGGAGAGGGAUCAGGGGCUUCGUCGAGUUCCCCAAGGUGGUCCGCGUGCGGCCGCGCGAGGACAGGGCGGAUCUGGUGUCCAACCUCGAGUGCCAACGGGCGCAGCUGCGCGUGCUCAUGUGGCACCGGAGUUCCGCCGCCGGCAUGUGGCUCAUCGACACAGCAGAGAAACCGUGGCCACCGGGGCCGGCACCAGCGCACCCAACCCAAAGCGCAGGAAGAGCUGCACGCUGCCAUUCCUCGGGCGGCUCGGAGGCAGGGGAAUGGCUGCGCGGCCAGAGGUAGAGGCCGGAGGACUGCGCAUGGUCGCCGGCGGGGGCUGCGGGGUGGAGCGGCGUCGCCGGCCGGUGGAGCAAUGGCGCCGGGCGAGCGGAAAAGUCUGGCACGCCAAGUCAACCGCCGAUAGGGGAGAGGGAUUCAACGCCUUGCUUCUCCCCUAUGUCUAUGGGAGAGGAGAUGAGGUUUUGGCAAUUGCUCAAAAAAUUUUGGUAUUGCGGAAUCUAUUGGUAAUUUGCUGGAGCUCUUUCUUAUCUCUUAAAUCUUUCAAAUGGUAGUUUUUUUGGUAUUGGGGAUGAAUUUGAGCAAUCUGCUGGAAAUGCUCUGUUACCUAGGGCAGCUACCCGGUCGUCAUUUCCCCCACCCCACCCUUUCAGCUUCACUUCGUAGGCCCAGACCCCCACCCUCUCUUGCGUGCGAGAGGAGAGCAGGGGGCGGCGAUGGUUCCUGGGCAGCGCCCUUGGUGAUUCCAGAGGCCAGACCGCCGGAGUCCUCAUCGGCGACACCAACUGAGGCUAGACCGCCGGAGUCCUCAUUGGCGACACCAACUAGUGUGAGGAGGAGGCGGCGGCGCUAUUGGCUGUAAGUUUCUUAUCCACGAGCAUGCCCUCUACGAUUUUGUUAGGUUUCCCCCUAGAUUUCCCUGGGAUUUCUGUUGUUUUUUAUUCGUACUCCAUUUCAUGGAUGGAGGAAAGGGAUUUGGAGGAGCACAGGACAAUCUGUGUGUGUGAUGGGCGGAGGUGAGGUGGGGGGGGUCCGCACGGUGCUUUUGCUUUGUGUAGGUUUCAAAUAUUUUUGGGAUGGAUUUUGUCAUUUUGAUGUUUCUGUUUCGGAUUGGGGGAAGGUCUCUAUCUGGAAGGGGGAUUAUGCCUGUGUGCACUGGGCAAGCGCAGAUUCAGCGCUGGAGAAGUAUGCACCCAAGGCGGUGCGAGCUUAGGCGAGCAGGCUGCCGCAGGCCGCGCGCGGAUGUGGGCGACUCGAGCCGGCAAGAGCUAGGCAGGACGAGGAGCUGCGAGCUAGGCAAAUGUUGUUUUUGUGUGCGUGAGGGAGGGGGUUGUCAAAAAUAAAAUCAGUUAGUUUUGUAUCAAUUCUGGUACUUUUUACUGCAAAUUUCAUAGUAUUUUCUACAUCUGUAUCAAAUUUCAUGGUGUAUCUAGUAUUGGACACAUGUAAUCUUUAUAAUAAAGUUAGAGCAUGGUAGAAAUGGAUAUUUCUGAGCAGUUGAAUGUUACGUCGUUACAUCAAUGCUACUAGGAAAAUAAAAUUUCCUAUUGUAUUUCCUUGUGCGGCAAGAAGAAUGGUUACUCUUAAUGAUUUUUUAUUGACAGCAAGUGAUCUUGUUUCACAUUCAUUGCGCAUCGACAAAUAAUACAACACAUAUCUUUUUGCUAAUUAAUAGUUUCUUUUAUCUUUAAUCCAUUUAUGCUUUUGCACUGUAUGCUUUAGUUUUGGUCACCUAAUAAUUAGUGAAGCCACAAGUGUCCUGUUGCUAAUUAGUUUUUGUGUGUGUGUCACUGUAAUUGUUCCUACCUUCCAUGUUACAAAAUAAUGAUUUAAAUCAGUGAUAUUUAUGUCUGAACCAGUUUCUUUCUUCGGCUCCAAAAAAUAUCACUGUAAUUGUUCCUACCUUCCAUGCUACAAAAUCAUGAUUUAAUCAGUGAUAUUUUUUUAGAUAAGAGAGUGAAAUACAGUUUGAACAGUUAUUAUAUUUUAUAACUUAGUGCGGAUAAAAGUAUUUGCCAAUUUUUUAGAGAGGGUAAGAUGCAUAUUGUUAUCUGCAGGAGUUCAGUGUGGCUUUUUUGCCCAUUCUAUUCUGAAUUGUUUAUACUGUUGGAUGACAAAAAUAAUUUUUUGGUAUAUAUGUGACAUAUUAGUUUUUUGGCCAUCUUUGUACUAUUUUUUCCUUCUCUCCCUUAUUUGAUUUGAGUAGGUCUAUUUCCUUGUUUGAUUUGAUUGUAGCUGCAAGCAUUUGUUUGUUUUCAAAAAUUUUAAUCAAUUUCUUUUCUAGCUAAGGCAAAUUUCGGGUGAUAUUUACUAUAUUACUUGUUUUACCUCAGUUCUCAUGUAUAUGCUGAAAACUCAGGUCUGGUCAGCUGAUCUAAAGGUGAGCAGAUUGAGGUAUGCGUGGGUUACGCCAUCAGUCUGAUUUUAGUUGAUUUUUUGUCUGUGUUGCUUUAUGCCCUCUUUUUCUAAAUUGAGAGAUUUUAAGUAUGAUAUUAAAUUCAACGUGCUUUAUGGUUUUUGUGUUUAUGCAUUCUAUCAUGGACACUUAUUCUAACAUUCUACACUAGUUAUCAUUUAUUUUUGCUGAAAUUAUAGUAUAUUUUAGCUCUUCGUAAAAUUUGAUGCCCUGGACUUCAAGUACCAGCUUUUGUGUAGCAGUCGAGAUGUUGGUAAAAAGUACGUACCCAGUGACAUAGGCUCCCGCACUGUGCGGGGUCUGGGGGAGGUUAUUAGCAGGAGGCCUUUCCCACACACCGUACAAUGUGUAGAGGCCACCGCUCGAACCUGUGACCUCUCGGUUCACAGACGGCAAGCACUACCACUUGCACCAGGCUGCCCUUUUGGGGUGAAUUUUUGUAUUCAUUCAUUUGGGGUGAAUUUUUGUAUUCUCACUCAUGUGUUUCUUAAUUUUUUUACAAGGAGCAUCCCCCCCACCCCCCUCCCCCCACACACACACACUAAACUGCGCUGCUAGUUGCAUUCGCAAAGGUAGGAAUGGAUUGUGAUGUACCCUUCUUGUUCAUCAAUUAUUUUUAUGUUGUAACUUUUCGGUUCAUUUUGGAGUAAUUUUUAAUACACAAUUUCCUUAUUCAAUUAUUGAUCUGUUCUUUUAGUUACAGUUCAUAACUAUAUAAGUUACAUUGUACAUUUUGAUAUACUCUUUAAAUCUGAAAAUUAUUCUAUGUUAUAAAUUUUGAUAUUGUUUUUGUCUUUACAUAAUUUAUCAUGGACACUUAUUCUAACAAUCUACACUAGUUAUAGUUUACUCCUAAAAUUAAAGCAUAUUUUUCUCAUGUAAAAUUAAUAAUGGUUGAUCUGUUGGUUGUGCGGGUGUAAACCUUUUUGCAGAGUGCUUUUCUUCUGCGUUUUUUUUUGCCUUGGGGGAUUUGACUGGAGUAGUGUGGUGGUAUGGAUUUGUAGCAUAUCAGCUAGCCUCUACCAAAAAAGUUCUAUCAUAAUUUUUCUCCAUUUCUUCUCUACAUAGUAGCAUAGUUGUCUGCUAUAUUUGUGUCAUAUUAUUAUUUUUGGUUAUCUUUGUACUAUUCUGCCUCUAUUUUCUCUCUCUUAUUAAUUGUUUUGAUUACUUCUCUUUCUCCCUAUAUAUCGCUAUGUGUUUCUUUGUACCAGUGAACAUAGCUGUAAGAAUUUUUCUUGGUUUGAAAAAUUUUAAUCACUUUAGCUAAGCCAAAUUUUCUAAUGUUAUUUUGACCAUACUUACUUUGUUUUCUUCACUGCCUGGGUCGUUUUUUGUUUGUAUUUUUGUGGUUUCCUGUCUAUUAUGGUUUCUGCAUGGCAUUCUAUAUAUCCCAGCUAAAGUUAAUUGAAUUAAGUAAUCUGUGAUCUCACCUUAUUACAAUUAGUGGCCAUGUCAUUUUUUUUAGUUAUACACUGUACCUUUUUUGACACGAGUAAUCUGUGAUCUCAUCUGAUUGAAAAGUUAUAGUUUCUACUUUUUCGUUAAGGGUAAUUUGAUGCAGAAUGAUGUAGAACUAGGGAGAUUACAUGGCAUUAACCAAAAGGUCAGGCAAUACCAGCAUAGAGUGAAUAUCUAGUAUUAUAGUCUCUAGCAAAAGUUUAUUGUUAAUUUAUACCAUACUUUGUCUUAGCUGUAAGUCAAAUUAUAUAGCAUACUUUUUUUUCUUAACUAGUGGCAAGUUAUUAUUUUUUCUAACAUUUUGUUAAGACAACACCACCAUUUGAGAGCUUGCUCCAUUCUUUUUUGUUUUGUAUCUCCUACUACAAUCGUAGCUUUUGCUCAAGAGCCAUUAUCAAGAUGAGCAAUCAGGACGAGAUGAUAUCCAAGAUGAGCAUGAAGAAUUAGUUGAAUCUCAGAUAGAUGUGAUGUGAUGUCCAACAUCACAUUUAUCCAACAAACAAUAGGCCCAUAGGGACAACAGAUUUUUUUUAUCAGGCCAAAUGUAAAUAUGUCUCACAGUCCAUAGGUACAACAGAAAAAUAAUGUAAUUUUUAUUGGGCCAAUAGUAAAUAAGACCCACAGCCAACGGAUA